rnacentral:rRNA from 1 species
UGAGGAAUAUUGCACAAUGGGCGAAAGCCUGAUGCAGCAACGCCGCGUGCGGGACGAAGGCCUUCGGGUUGUAAACCGCUUUUCUGGGGGACGAGCAAGGACGGUACCCCAGGAAUAAGUCUCGGCUAACUACGUGCCAGCAGCCGCGGUAAAACGUAGGAGGCGAGCGUUAUCCGGAUUUACUGGGCGUAAAGCGCACGCAGGUGGCUGUGCAGGUCGGACAUGAAAGCUCCUGGCUUAACUGGGAGAGGUGGUUCGAAACCGCACGGCUUGAGGUUGGGAGAGGGACGUGGAAUUCCCGGUGUAGUGGUGGAAUGCGUAGAUAUCGGGAGGAACACCAGUGGCGCAAGCGGCGUCCUGGCCCACACCUGACGCUGAGGUGCGAAAGCGUGGGGAGCAAACAGG